rnacentral:rRNA from 1 species
CAGUCGCCGCGGUAAUACGUAGGGUGCAAGCGUUAAUCGGAAUUACUGGGCGUAAAGCGCACGUAGGCGGCUUGGUAAGUUAGAGGUGAAAGCCCGGAGCUCAACUCCGGAAUUGCCUUUAAGACUGCCGAGCUAGUAGGUGAGAGAGGUAAGUGGAAUUCCGAGUGUAGAGGUGAAAUUCGUAGAUAUUCGGAAGAACACCAGUGGCGAAGGCGGCUUACUGGCUCAUUCUAGACGCUGAGGUGCGAAAGCGUGGGGAGCAAACAGGAUUAGAUACCCGAGUAGUCCCUGUCUCUUAUAC